GUAGGUGGCAAGCGUUGUCCGGAAUUAUUGGGCGUAAAGCGCGAGCAGGCGGUUCUUUAAGUCUGAUGUGAAAGCCCACGGCUCAACCGUGGAGGGUCAUUGGAAACUGGAGAACUUGAGUACAGAAGAGGAAAGCGGAAUUCCACGUGUAGCGGUGAAAUGCGUAGAGAUGUGGAGGAACACCAGUGGCGAAGGCGGCUUUCUGGUCUGUAACUGACGCUGAGGCGCGAAAGCGUGGGGAGCAAACAGGAUUAGAUACCCUGGUAGUCCACGCCGUAAACGAUGAGUGCUAAGUGUUAGGGGGGUUUUCCGCCCCCCUUAGUGCUGCAGCUAACGCAUUAAGCAUCCGCCUGGGAGUACGGCCGCAAGGCUG
rnacentral:rRNA from 1 species